UCCCUACGCCACCUCACUUCUUCUGCGCCCAUUUGAAUUCACGAGAAGCAACUUCUCAUAAAUUUUCUCCCAUGCAGAAGGCAUCCCACGCCCACCCUUGUGCACCAAUUAUUUGGAUAAACAUGAUUUGUUAGCCAUUCAAAUUCAAAGGGUGUUUGAAUUUAAAUGAAUAACUAAUCCCAUGCACCAUGUCCUUAUCCAUUUUGUGCACCCCUUAUUUUACACGAGAAAAGUUUCUUGUGUAAACUCUCCACAC
rnacentral:lncRNA from 1 species